GAGGCCUACCAUGGUGGUAACGGGUAACGGGGUGUUAGGGCACGACACCGGAGAGGGAGCCUGAGAAACGGCUACCACAUCCAAGGAUGGCAGCAGGCGCGCAAAUUACCCAAUCCCGACACGGGGAGGUAGUGACAAUAAAUAACAAUACGGGGUUCUUUCGGAUCUCGUAAUUGGAAUGAGUACAAUUUAAAUCUCUUAACGAGGAACAAUUGGAGGGCAAGUCUGGUGCCAGCAGCCGCGGUAAUUCCAGCUCCAAUAGCGUAUAUUAAAGUUGUUGCAGUUAAAAAGCUCGUAGUUGAAUUUCGGGGUUAGUAGGUUGGUCAUGCCUCUGGUAUGUACUGAUCUCACUGAUUCCUCCUUCCUGAUGAACCGUAAUGCCAUUAAUUUGGUGUUGCGGGGAAUUUGGACUGUUACUUUGAAAAAAUUAGAGUGUUUAAAGCAAGCUAACGCUUGAAUACAUUAGCAUGGAAUAAUGAAAUAGGACGUUCGAUCCUAUUUUGUUGGUUUCUAGGAUUGACGUAAUGAUUAAUAGGGAUAGUUGGGGGCAUUAGUAUUCAAUUGUCAGAGGUGAAAUUCUUGGAUUUAUUGAAGACUAACUACUGCGAAAGCAUUUGCCAAGGAUGUUUUCAUUAAUCAAGAGCGAAAGUUAGGGGAUCGAAGACGAUCAGAUACCGUCGUAGUCUUAACCAUAAACUAUGCCGACUAGGGAUCGGAUGAUG
rnacentral:rRNA from 1 species